ACGAACGCUGGCGGCGUGCUUAACCCAUGCAAGUCGAACGGAAAGGCCCUGCUUUUGUGGGGUGCUCGAGUGGCGAACGGGUGAGUAACACGUGAGUAACCUGCCCUUGACUUUGGGAUAACUUCAGGAAACUGGGGCUAAUACCGGAUAGGAGCUCCUGCUGCAUGGUGGGGGUUGGAAAGUUUCGGCGGUUGGGGAUGGACUCGCGGCUUAUCAGCUUGUUGGUGGGGUAGUGGCUUACCAAGGCUUUGACGGGUAGCCGGCCUGAGAGGGGGACCGGCCAAAUUGGGACUGAGAUACGGCCCAGACGCCUACGGGAGGCAGCAGUGGGGAAUAUUGCACAAUGGGCGGAAGCCUGAUGCAGCAACGCCGCGUGCGGGAUGACGGCCUUCGGGUUGUAAACCGCUUUCGCCUGUGACGAAGCGUGAGUGACGGUAAUGGGUAAAGAAGCACCGGCUAACUACGUG
rnacentral:rRNA from 1 species